AUACUUACCUGGCGCGGGGAUACCGUGAUCAAGAAGGCGGUGCCUCCAGGACGAGGCCUGUACAUUGCACUCCGUAUGGGCUGACUCCUGCGACUACCCCCCAAAUCGGGGUGGCUCGAGCGCAUAAUUUUUGGUAGUGGGGACAAGCGUUCGCGCUGUCCCUU
rnacentral:snRNA from 1 species